AUUAAUUCAAUGGUCGAGAUCAAUUUUUUCCUUCUUUCCUUUUUAAAACCAAACCCAACCCUAAUUCCCUCAAAUCAUCGCAUCCCUUUCCUUUCUCAACUCUCAUCUCUCUCUUUCUCUCUCUAUCAACAGACAUGGCUGCCAUCACUUAUCCCACCGGCGAUGCCACCAUCGGCGAACCCCACCAGCUGCCAAAACUCUAACAAAAUUAGCCAUCCAAAUCCACCUCCUCUCUCCGUUCUCCUUCCUAGUCAGCGUAGCAAUCGGCACCGGCGAAGCUCCAGCCGCUAUGGGUAGUGAAAGAGUCUCACCGCUUUGCUACCAUCCGGCGAACCCUGAGAACUAGCGCCACCACUGACGAACUAGGGGGGCAUUGUCCGAUUUGAACUUUGUCGAGAAACAUCGCAAUUUAUGACGAAUUCAUAAGAAUCCGUUCCAGGUAUAAGUUGAUGGUUUUGAAAUUAAAAGAGUUGCCUGGGUGUUUGAGAGGGACUACAUUAUUCCUUGCUAGUUUAGUUGUUUUUUCUCUUAUAUUAGUUUGUAAUAUUAAUGUAUAAACGCUUAUGUAAUAAUAAAUUAUUAUGGAGAUUCUUGA